UACAGAGACUGCGAGCGUUAUUCGGAUUCACUGGGCGUAAAGGGUGCGCAGGCGGCCAAGUGUGUUAGGCGUGAAAGCCUAGGGCUUAACCUCAGAAUUGCACCUAAAACUACAUGGCUAGAGCAUUGGAGAGGGUAGCGGAAUUCACGGUGUAGCAGUGAAAUGCGUAGAUAUCGUGAGGAACACCAGAGGCGAAGGCGGCUACCUGGACAAUUGCUGACGCUCAGGCACGAAAGCGUGGGGAGCAAAAGGG
rnacentral:rRNA from 1 species